GUGAGCACUCACUCCUAGUUCCCCAGGUACAACGUACCCACAGAGGCUUUCCUUUUUUUUUCUUUCUUUCUUUUCUUCUCUUUUUUUUUUUUCCCCAAGUUGCUCUAUGGAUGUAAGCGUUGAGGGUGUGUGUCCAUACUUGGGACUACAGGGAGACACAGAAAGCAUCCAGCGCGCCGUGCAGUUUUGAUUGCAGCCCCCAGGACAAGGUUGGAGCAGUACCUGGGGCUUGUCUGCAGAUUCUAGUUUAUUCUAGCACAUGAAGGCUCCCAUAGGUGUUGGAACUGAUAGAGUGGGUAAAGCUUGCUAAUAAGUAGGGUGGUUGGAAGCAAACUGCUGUAGCCUUCUCUAACAGUGAAGAUUUGACACACCUGAAAGAUUAUAUCUAAAGAGGUAGCAGGUGAGCUUGUUGCCUGUUCUCAGCUGGAAUCUAAGGAUAAGGAGAGACCUGAUUUUUUUCAAUUUCCCCUUUAAACAGAACUUUUUAUCUGAUUCUUUAGCACAGACACGGAACCAUAUAUUUGAAAGAGAUGGAGGGAUAUGUUCUGGUCUUCUGUGUGUACGUUCUGUUCAGAAGAUUCUGAGAGCUCAGAAUAUCAUCAGAGCCAGAGGGAGACAUAAAAGAAAUAUACUGGAGACAGGAGAAUGAGACAUGCCGCAGAAGAAACAGUGUGGCUGCCCUUGAAUGCCUGGUGAUGGCAUAUUGUGCUUUGCUGUCAGUCUGUUGACUCAUGUACACUUCAAAAGAGCUCUCAGGAGAGGCAGUUAUGCGAGUCACUGCCUGAUGCACUGUAAAUCAUGGCUGUGCUUUUUUUGUUAUUUGAAUGGGCCUCGAGUGAGCCUAAUGCUGUUUUGAAAGAUCAUCUAAUGUCAUUGGAACUCAGGGAUUUCAAUGAAUGUGGGGCAGAGGAUGAGGGAAUACUCGCCCUCAUGGACAAGAUUAGUCAGAGCUACUUCAGGAUUGUCUGGUCAUCUCUUCUUUAGUAUCAUGUGCUGCAGGUCAAAGCGAAUAAAGCGGUAAGAAUCAGGAGCUUCAUGGAGGUUAUGCUGAACAGAGGUGUAUCCAAAAUCUUAGUGUGCUCUCGCCUCCAUGUCCUCUCUCUUGAAGCUGUACCCCUGAGAUUUGAUGAAAAAGCAGGACAAGAGCUUUAGAGAGUUGGUGCAGGGAUUGGUACUGUCAGAUGCUUUUUUGUCAUCGCCUUUCCUCUUAAGAACAAACAAAUGCUUCCCCUCUAAGGAGUAAGGCAGUAAAGGGAUACCAGGUGGCACUGAAUAAACUGUGAAAUGCUGCAGUCAGAAUGCUGCAGUAGAACCACAUCAGGAAUUUUAGUCCAGAUUCCUAAGGAAAGAACUUUUUACACUGUGUUGCUUUCGUCUGAUGGUCUGCAGGAUAUCUCCAUAAUUUUAAAAGUAGGCCAGCUUCAGAUAAACUUUGCAGAAUGGAAGAGGCUUGUUGUUCUUAAUGAAGAUGAUUGAGGGGGUCAAGGUGAAUCUUCCCACAGAAGGAAAGGUUUAGAUUGGAGUUCAGGUGUGUUCUUAGUGACAAACCAACAAGGGGGAAAUUUUGAAUGCCCUGUGUACAAGAAAAACUUUGAACAAAGUUUGCAUUCUAGUUGAAAUGGGAUGGUAAAAACAUGAGAUGCAAAGCUAUAGGUAACUCUGAAAAGCAUUUUACUUUCUCUGUUUGUAAAGUUGAAAUUGUGCUGCUUACAGUUACAAACUGGAAAUUCAAAGCACAGAACCAACUAUGUAAAGACUUGCAGAACCAUAUUAAACCACAAUAUCGAAGACAAAGAUUAUUUCUGAACCUCUGAUGCUGUCAAUUCAGGAGUUCCCAGGGCUAUCUGGUUUGCCUUUUGCUUUGCUGCUGAGAAUGGAAGAAAUCACAUCUCUUGAGACUGCUGCGGGGAUUGUUUUGAGCUAUUUUAAAAUUCACAGGAGAUAGUUAAGAAAUUCACUUUCUUAUGUUGCUUUACAAAACCUAGGAGUAUUAUUUUAGAUGUCCUUCAGUGAUACUGUGAUUUCCAUAUACUUUAAGAAUAG
ensembl:lncRNA